CUGCUCUCAGGGUCACACCUGGAGAGUUUCCAGUACUCUACCAGUCUUGAAAACAGUAGGAAGAGUCAAGCAGAGGCCUACCCAUUCCAUUUCUAGCUUGGGCAGUGGCCAGUGAGUGGAAGGCAAUCUGCUACUGCU
rnacentral:snoRNA from 1 species